UGCGCAGGCGGCCAAGUGUGUGAGGCGUGAAAGCCCGGGGCUUAACCUCGGAAUUGCACCUCAAACUACUCGGCUAGAGCAUUGGAGAGGGUAGCAGAAUUCACGGUGUAGCAGUGAAAUGCGUAGAUAUCGUGAGGAAUACCAGAGGCGAAGGCGGCUACCUGGACAAUUGCUGACGCUCAGGCACGAAAGCGUGGGGAGCAAAAG
rnacentral:rRNA from 1 species